rnacentral:rRNA from 1 species
GACGAACGCUGGCGGCGUGCUUAACACAUGCAAGUCGAACGGAAAGGCCCUGCUUUUGUGGGGUGCUCGAGUGGCGAACGGGUGAGUAACACGUGAGUAACCUGCCCUUGACUUUGGGAUAACUUCAGGAAACUGGGGCUAAUACCGGAUAGGAGUUCCUGCUGCAUGGUGGGGGUUGGAAAGUUUCGGCGGUUGGGGAUGGACUCGCGGCUUAUCAGCUUGUUGGUGGGGUAGUGGCUUACCAAGGCUUUGACGGGUAGCCGGCCUGAGAGGGUGACCGGCCACAUUGGGACUGAGAUACGGCCCAGACUCCUACGGGAGGCAGCAGUGGGGAAUAUUGCACAAUGGGCGGAAGCCUGAUGCAGCAACGCCGCGUGCGGGAUGACGGCCUUCGGGUUGUAAACCGCUUUCGCCUGCGACGAAGCGUGAGUGACGGUAAUGGGUAAAGAAGCACCGGCUAACUACGUG